GAUGAACGCUAGCGGCAGGCUUAACACAUGCAAGUCGAGGGGUAUUGGUUUUCGGACCAAGAGACCGGCGCACGGGUGCGUAACGCGUAUGCAAUCUACCUUUUGCAGAGGGAUAGCCCCAGAGAAAUUUGGAUUAAUACCUCAUAGUAUAGUACUUUGGCAUCAAGGAACUAUUAAAGUCACAACGGCAAAGAUGAGCAUGCGUCCCAUUAGCUAGUUGGUAAGGUAACGGCUUACCAAGGCUACGAUGGGUAGGGGUCCUGAGAGGGAGAUCCCCCACACUGGUACUGAGACACGGACCAGACUCCUACGGGAGGCAGCAGUGAGGAAUAUUGGACAAUGGGCGCAAGCCUGAUCCAGCCAUGCCGCGUGCAGGAUGACGGUCCUAUGGAUUGUAAACUGC
rnacentral:rRNA from 1 species